rnacentral:rRNA from 1 species
GCAAGAUACCACGGGCGCACGGCGGAUGCCUUGGCACAGGGAGCCGAUGAAGGACGCGGCAAGCUGCGAUAAUCCCCGGCGAGGAGCACACAUCCUUCGACCCGGGGGUCUCCGAAUGGGCGAACCCAUGCACAGCAGUGUGCAUAUCCCCGGCCUGAACACAUAGGGCCGGGGAGGACAACCCGGGGAACUGAAACAUCUAAGUACCCGGAGGAGAGGAAAUCAAUCUCGAGACUCCCCGAGUAGCGGCGAGCGAAAGGGGACCGAUGGCCAAACCGUCGAGCGGGCAUACCCGGCAGGGGUUCCGCCGACGGGGUUGCAGGGCCGCGCAUCCGGGGGCUGCCGCCCCCGGGCGCAGGUCCGGCUGGGGAGCGGAACGGCAUGGGAGGGCCGGCCGCAGCGGGUGACAGCCCCGUACGCGAACCCAGACCGGACGGCGCGACGCGGUCCCUGAGUAGGGCCGGGCACGUGAAACCCGGUCCGAACCUGGGUGGACCACCAUCCAAGCCUGAGUACUACCCUGUGACCGAUAGCGCACCAGUACCGUGAGGGAAAGGUGAAAAGCACCCCGGGAGGGGAGUGAAACAGUACCUGAAACCGUGCGCCCACGAGCAGUCGGAGCACCUUUAUGGUGUGACGGCGUGCCUUUUGUAGAAUGAGCCAGCGAGUCGCUGGCGCGGGGCGAGGUUAACCGAAAGGGAGCCGGAGCGAAAGCGAGCCUUAACAGGGCGACUUGAGUCCCGCGCCGCGGACGCGAAGCCGGGUGAGCUAUCCGUGGGCAGGCUGAAGCGGGGGUAAGACCCCGUGGAGGGCCGAACGCACGUCGGUUGAAAACGGCGGCGAUGACCUGCGGAUAGGGGUGAAAGGCCAAUCAAACCCGGAGAUAUCUCGUUCUCCCCGAAAUAGCUUUAGGGCUAGCGUCGCGCGUUCACCGCCGGAGGUAGAGCACCGGAUGGACGAGGGGGCUUCGCCGCCUACCGAAUCCAACCGAACUCCGAAUGCCGGCGGCCCAGAGCGCGGCAGUCAGAGCAUGUGGGCUAAGCUGUGUGCUCGAGAGGGAAACAGCCCGGACCGCCCGCUAAGGUCCCCAAGUUCCAGCCGAGUGGCAAAGGAUGUGCGUCCGCCCAGACAACCAGGAUGUUGGCUUAGAAGCAGCCAUCCAUUCAAAGAGUGCGUAACAGCUCACUGGUCGAGUGGACAUGCGCCGACAAUACACGGGGCUAAGCUGGACACCGAAGCGGCGGGAUUUUGAUUUUCAGAAUCGGUAGGGGAGCUUCCCAUGGGCGGAGAAGCCGGAGGGCGACCGACGGUGGAGCGCAUGGGAGUGAGAAUGCUGGCAUGAGUAGCGAGAGACGAGAGAGUAACUCGUCCGCCGUGAACCCGAGGUUUCCUGGGCAAGGCUAAUCCUCCCAGGGUCAGUCGGGGGCUAAGGCGAGGCCGGGAGGCGUAGCCGACGCGCAGCAGGCAGACAUUCCUGCACCGCGCACGCGGCGCUACGACCGACGGGGCGACGGAUGGGGGUGGCUCGGCGGGGUUCUGGACGUCCCCGUGAUGGAGCGCGGCCCGCGGACCAGGGAAAUCCGGUCCGCACGAGGGCGAGGCUCCGGACGAAGCGAUUGAGCGAAGCGAGUGAGCCCGAGGUCCCUAGAAAAACCCCUAGGCAGGCGCGUGCGCGCCCGUACCGCAAACCGACACAGGUGGGUGGGUAGAACAUACCGAGGCGAUCGGGUCAACCAUGGUCAAGGAACUCGGCACAAUGGCCCCGUAACUUCGGGAGAAGGGGUGCCCGCGCGUACGUGAACCGGCUUGCCCGGGGAGCGGAGGCGGGCCGCAGUGGAGAGGCCCAAGCGACUGUUUACCAAAAACACAGGACUCUGCAGAAGCCGCAAGGCGACGUAUAGGGUCUGACGCCUGCCCGGUGCCGGAAGGUCACGCGGAGGAGUUAGCCGCAAGGCGAAGCCCCGAAGCCAAGCCCCGGUAAACGGCGGCCGUAACUAUAACGGUCCUAAGGUAGCGAAAUUCCUUGUCAGGUAAG